GCCCUUUUCUGGCUCAUCAGUGUGAAGACUGAGUGUUCACACCACUGUGUGAGGUAUGCUUCCCUCAGACCUGGUUACCAUGCUAGCAUGCUACUUAUCCAAUGUGAAA
rnacentral:snoRNA from 1 species